rnacentral:rRNA from 1 species
GACGAACGCUGGCGGCAUGCUUAACACAUGCAAGUCGAACGGUAAGGCCCUUCGGGGUACACGAGUGGCGAACGGGUGAGUAACACGUGGGUGAUCUGCCCUGCACUUCGGGAUAAGACUGGGAAACUGGGUCUAAUACCGGAUAGGACCACUGCCUGCAUGGGUGGUGGUGGAAAGCUUUUGCGGUGUGGGAUGGGCCCGCGGCCUAUCAGCUUGUUGGUGGGGUGAUGGCCUACCAAGGCGACGACGGGUAGCCGGCCUGAGAGGGUGACCGGCCACACUGGGACUGAGAUACGGCCCAGACUCCUACGGGAGGCAGCAGUGGGGAAUAUUGCACAAUGGGCGCAAGCCUGAUGCAGCGACGCCGCGUGAGGGAUGACGGCCUUCGGGUUGUAAACCUCUUUCAGCACCGACGAAGCGCAAGUGACGGUAGGUGCAGAAGAAGGACCGGCCAACUACGUGCCAGCAGCCGCCGUAA